AACGUACGCUGGCGGCACGCCUAACACAUGCAAGUCGAACGAAGUAGCAAUACUUAGUGGCAGACGGGUGAGUAACAUGUAGGUAUCUGCCCUUUGGCCUGGAAUAACACGAGGAAACUUGUGCUAAUACCGGAUAAGUCUUUACGGAGAAAGCUUUAUGCACCAUUGGAUGAGCCUGCACUUGAUUAGUUUGUUGGUGGGGUAAUGGCCUACCAAGACUGUGAUCAAUAGCUGAUUUGAGAGGAUGAUCAGCCACAUUGGGACUGAGACACGGCCCAAACUCCUACGGGAGGCAGCAGUGGGGAAUCUUGCACAAUGGAGGAAACUCUGAUGCAGCGAUGCCGCGUGAGUGAAGAAGGCCCUUGGGUUGUAAAGCUCCUUCGUCGGGGAAGAAAAUGACUGUACCCGAAUAAGAAGGUCCGGCUAACUUCGUGCCAGCAGCCGCGGUAAUACGAAGGGACCUAGCGUAGUUCGGAAUUACUGGGCUUAAAGAGUUCGUAGGUGGUUGAAAAAGUUAGUGGUGAAAUCCCAGAGCUUAACUCUGGAACUGCCAUUAAAACUUUUCAGCUAGAGUAUGAUAGAGGAAAGCAGAAUUUCUAGUGUAGAGGUGAAAUUCGUAGAUAUUAGAAAGAAUACCAAUUGCGAAGGCAGCUUUCUGGAUCAUUACUGACACUGAGGAACGAAAGCAUGGGUAGCGAAGAGGAUUAGAUACCCUCGUAGUCCAUGCCGUAAACGAUGUGUGUUAGACGUUGGAAAUUUAUUUUCAGUGUCGCAGGGAAACCGAUAAACACACCGCCUGGGGAGUACGACCGCAAGGUUAAAACUCAAAUGAAUUGACGGGGACCCGCACAAGUAGUGGAGCAUGUGGUUUAAUUCGAAGAUGCGCGCAGAACCUUACCAACACUUGACAUGUUCGUCGCGACUCUAAGAGAUUGGAGUUUUCGGUUCGGCCGGACGAAACACAGGUGCUGCAUGGCUGUCGUCAGCUCGUGUCGUGAGAUGUUGGGUUAAGUCCCGCAACGAGCGCAACCCUCACUUUUAGUUGCCAUCAUUAAGUUGGGCACUCUAAAAGAACUGCCAGUGAUAAGCUGGAGGAAGGUGGGGAUGACGUCAAGUCCUCAUGGCCCUUACGUGUUGGGCUACACACGUGCUACAAUGGUAUCUACAACAGGAAGCAAGACUGCGAAGUUAAGCAAAUCCCUAAAAGAUACCUCAGUUCGGAUUGCACUCUGCAACUCGAGUGCAUGAAGCUGGAAUUACUAGUAAUCGUGGAUCAGCGUGCCACGGUGAAAUGCGUUCCCGGGUCU
rnacentral:rRNA from 1 species